rnacentral:lncRNA from 1 species
UUUUGCCAAACAUUCUCACAAAUGUAUUAUACUUCAGCAAAUACCAGUGUCUAACAACCUUUUGCAUCACUAGCUAGUAGCUAGUACUUGAACACAACAAUACUAACACUUCCUACAUACAUAUCUCCUUCAGAAACAAUCUAGAACUAUAGAAGGAAGACACUGCUACCAUUAUUUAUGUAGCAACAAACAUAGUUUCUUGUCUAAAGCUCAUAUGUCAUCCCCACCUUGAGCAAGCGCUGCCGAGGAAUAUCAAACAUCUUGUCUGUUUGUC